rnacentral:rRNA from 1 species
UACGGGGGGGGCAAGCGUUGCUCGGAAUCACUGGGCGUAAAGCGCACGUAGGCGGCUUUCUAAGUCAGGGGUGAAAUCCUGGAGCUCAACUCCAGAACUGCCUUUGAUACUGGGAAGCUCGAGUCCGGAAGAGGUGAGUGGAACUCCGAGUGUAGAGGUGAAAUUCGUAGAUAUUCGGAAGAACACCAGUGGCGAAGGCGGCUCACUGGUCCGGUACUGACGCUGAGGCGCGAAAGCCAGGGGAGCAAACGGG